AGGGAGUUUGAUCCUGGCUCAGGACGAACGCUGGCGGCGUGCUUAGACACAUGCAAGUCGAACGAGGUUUACUGGAGAGCUUGCUCGAAGGUAAACCGAGUGGCGGACGGGUGAGUAACGCGUGAACAAUCUGUCUCAUACAGGGGGAUAACGCAUCGAAAGAUGUGCUAAUACCGCGUAGGACCACGGCUUCGCAUGGAGCUGAGGUGAAAGGAGUAAUCCGGUAUGAGGUGAGUUCGCGUCUGAUUAGAUAGUUGGUGAGGUAACGGCCCACCAAGUCAACGAUCAGUAGCCGACCUGAGAGGGUGAUCGGCCACAUUGGGACUGAGACACGGCCCAGACUCCUACGGGAGGCAGCAGUGGGGAAUAUUGGGCAAUGGGCGGAAGCCUGACCCAGCAACGCCGCGUGAAGGAAGAAGGUUUUCGGAUCGUAAACUUCUGUCCUAUAUGAAGAUAAUGACGGUAGUAUAGGAGGAAGCCCCGGCUAACUACGUGCCAGCAGCCGCGGUAAUACGUAGGGGGCGAGCGUUGUCCGGAAUGAUUGGGCGUAAAGGGCGCGUAGGCGGCCGAUUAAGUCUGGAGUGAAAGUCCUGUUUUCAAGAUGGGAAUUGCUUUGGAUACUGGACGGCUUGAGUGCAGGAGAGGUUAUCGGAAUUCCCGGUGUAGCGGUGAAAUGCGUAGAGAUCGGGAGGAACACCAGUGGCGAAGGCGGGUAACUGGACUGCAACUGACGCUGAGGCGCGAAAGUGUGGGGAGCAAACAGGAUUAGAUACCCUGGUAGUCCCCU
rnacentral:rRNA from 1 species